rnacentral:lncRNA from 1 species
CAAACCUUGCAUCCACACAAUCUCCGAACAAGCCGAGGACAUAGCACGAUACUCAAAUUUUGUAGAGGACUUCGAGACAUGAUCCUACUUUUCACUCUUCCAAGAAUUAAGAGCAUCGCCAAGAAACAUGCACCAUCCAAUAACAGAACAUUUAGUAUCUACACAACCAACUCAAUCAGCAUCACUGUAACCCCUCAAUGGUAAAGAAUUCCCAUUAAAAAAUAGUAAUCUACGACCAGAUGUACCCUUGAGAUAACGAAGAAUCCGUUGGACAGCUAUAUUUUUCACAUCCAUUUGAGAGCCCGACCUUUGAAAAUAGCGAUAGCCAUGAUAGUACGUACAAAAGUCAUUUUAACAACAGGUGCAAAAAACUCCUCAUAAUCAAGACCAUAUUCCUGGCAAUUCCCAAGAGCCACCCAACGAGCUUUACACCUUUCAUAGUGCCAUCAGACCGAUGCUUGAUAGUAUAUACCCAUUUACAUCCAAUGAGCUUCGCCUUAUCAAGACAUGGAACGAUGUCCCAUGUGUGAUUGUUCAGUAGUGCCUAAAGUUCUUCUUGCAUAGCUUGUCGCCAACAGGCUUGAGUAGCUGCCUAAGAAAAAGAUUUGAGCAUACUUACGGUAUCAAGGGUAGCAUGCUUAGCAGUAUAAGAGUACACAUACCUAUUUUGAGGACAAGACACUCGAGAAGAUCGUUGAGGUUCAGUCGGGAGAGGAUCAGAUGUCGGUUCAGGAUCUGGAAGAAGUGUUGGAGACUGUGGACAACGUCUUUUGUAAACAAAUCCUAGCUUAAAACGUUCAAUAGGGAAUGAUACAUCAUCAAAAUUAGGAAGCGUAGUAGAAGUAUAAUCACUAGGAAUGCAAGACAGGAAGAAAUAUUGAUGUUCAAAGAAAAUCACAUUUUGAGAUAUACGGAUCUUGUUAGCAUCCCCAUCAUAACAUACAAACCCUUUAUGUGUAUUACUAUACC